AAAUGAAUUGACGGGGGCCCGCACAAGCGGUGGAUCAUGUGGUUUAAUUCGAAGCAACGCGAAGAACCUUACCUGGAUUUGACAUCCUCGGACCGCUGUAGAAAUACAGUUUUCAUAGCAAUAUGACUGAGAGACAGGUGCUGCAUGGCUGUCGUCAGCUCGUGUGGUGACAUGUUGGGUUAAGUCCCGCAACGAGCGCAACCCUUGUCUUUAGUUGCCAGCAUUCAGUUGGGCACUCUAAAGAGACUGCCGUGGUGAACACGGAGGAAGGUGGGGAUGACGUCAAGUCCUCAUGGCCUUUAUAUCCAGGGCGACACACGUGAUACAAUGGUCGGUACAGAGGGAAGCGAAGAGGUGACUCGGAGCUAAUCUCAAAAAGCCGAUCUCAGUUCGGAUUGGAGUCUGCAAUUCGACUCCAUGAAGUUGGAAUCGCUAGUAAUCGCGGAUCAGCACGCCGCGGUGAAUACGUUCCCGGGCCUUGUACACACCGCCCGU
rnacentral:rRNA from 1 species